AUUGAACGCCGGCGGCAGGCCUAACACAUGCAAGUCGAGCGGCAGCGGGAAAGUAGCUUGCUACUUCUGCCGGCGAGCGGCGGACGGGUGAGUAAUGCCUGGGAAAUUGCCCAGUCGAGGGGGAUAACAGUUGGAAACGACUGCUAAUACCGCAUACGCCCUACGGGGGAAAGCAGGGGACCUUCGGGCCUUGCGCGAUUGGAUAUGCCCAGGUGGGAUUAGCUAGUUGGUGAGGUAAUGGCUCACCAAGGCGACGAUCCCUAGCUGGUCUGAGAGGAUGAUCAGCCGCACUGGAACUGAGACACGGUCCAGACUCCUACGGGAGGCAGCAGUGGGGAAUAUUGCACAAUGGGGGAAACCCUGAUGCAGCCAUGCCGCGUGUGUGAAGAAGGCCUUCGGGUUGUAAAGCACUUUCAGCGAGGAGGAAAGGUUGAUGCCUAAUACGUAUCAACUGUGACGUUACUCGCAGAAGAAGCACCGGCUAACUCCGUGCCAGCCGCCGCCGUAA
rnacentral:rRNA from 1 species